rnacentral:rRNA from 1 species
CAGUAGCCACGGGAAUACGAAGGGGGCUAGCGUUGCUCGGAAUUACUGGGCGUAAAGGGCGCGUAGGCGGACAGUUCAGUCGGGGGUGAAAGCCCGGGGCUCAACCUCGUAAUUGCCUUCGAUACUGGCUGUCUUGAGUAUGAGAGAGGUGUGUGGAACUCCGAGUGUAGAGGUGAAAUUCGUAGAUAUUCGGAAGAACACCAGUGGCGAAGGCGACACACUGGCUCAUUACUGACGCUGAGGCGCGAAAGCGUGGGGAGCAAAUGGGAUUAGAUACCCGCGUAGUCCCUGUCUCUUAUAC